CAAACUUGGUCAUUUAGAGGAAGUAAAAGUCGUAACAAGGUUUCCGUAGGUGAACCUGCGGAAGGAUCAUUCAUAAUAAGUGUUUUAUGGCACUUUUUAAAUCCAUAUCCACCUUGUGUGCAAUGUCAGUUGAUCUUCUUUAUGGAGAUCGACCAAACAUCAACCUAUUUUUUUAACUCUUUGUCUGAAAAAUAUUAUGAAUAAAUAAUUCAAAAUACAACUUUCAACAACGGAUCUCUUGGCUCUCGCAUCGAUGAAGAACGCAGCGAAAUGCGAUACGUAAUGUGAAUUGCAGAAUUCAGUGAAUCAUCGAAUCUUUGAACGCAUAUUGCGCUCUUUGGUAUUCCGAAGAGCAUGCUUGUUUGAGUAUCAGUAAACACCUCAAAGCCUUUGAUUUUUUUUAAAAGUUUUGGACUUGAGCAAUCCCAACACCAGUCUUUUACAGAUCGGCGGCGGGUUGCUUGAAAUGCAGGUGCAGCUGGACAUUCUCCUGAGCUAAAAGCAUAUUUAUUUAGUCCCGUCAAACGGAUUAUUACUUUUGCUGCAGCUAAUAUAAAGGGAGUUUGACCGUAUUGGCUGACUGAUGCAGGAUUUCACAAGGGUCGGCAACGAUUCUUGUAAAACUCGAUCUCAAAUCAAGUAAGACUACCCGCUGAACUUAAGCAUAUCAAUAAGCGGAGG
rnacentral:rRNA from 1 species